rnacentral:rRNA from 1 species
UUAAGCAUAUCACUAAGCGGAGGAAAAGAAACUAACAAGGAUUCCCUCAGUAACUGCGAGUGAACAGGGAAAAGCCCAGCACCGAAGCCUGUGGCCAUUUGGCUACUAGGCAAUGUGGUGUUCAGGUCGUUCCUUGGGGGCGCUGCCUCACUCCAAGUCCAGCAAUGAGUACGGUAAUAUUGACUUGGCCCAGAGAGGGUGAAAGGCCCGUGGGAGUGAGGUCGCAGAAAUGCCAGUGCCUUCCUGGAUAGACCUUGGAGUCGGGUUGUUUGUGAAUGCAGCCCAAAGUGGGUGGUAAACUCCAUCCAAGGCUAAAUACUAACACGAGUCCGAUAGCGAACAAGUACCGUGAGGGAAAGUUGAAAAGUACUUUGAAGAGAGAGUAAACAGUGCGUGAAACCGCUCAGAGGUAAACGGGUGGAGUUGAACUGUGAUCUCUGUGGAUUUAGCUGGUGAGUAUGGUUUGAGCUUGGUCAAAUUGGUUGUAUUUUGGAAUCUGCUUAGCCGCAGGUCCUUGCCUUCGGGUAGGGAUGCGUGGAGCACUCAUCAGGUGUUGCGCGUUCCAGGUAUUUCGUGCCAGCUCGCCAGUGCACUUUCGCAGAGUGUUCACCACGACCGGCAUUGCUGUCUGGCUGUUGUGGUUAAACCGGCCUUUCUUUGUCCUUGUGGCUUUGAAUUGUCGGGAUGGCAGGUAGCUCAAUUGUCAGCCUGUGGUUCGCUGCAGGUUCUGGCUCUCGGGUGUUAUCAGCUGACCGCAUCGGUUCUGUGCAGUAUGUCGGAGACGGCGGCUUGUGGUACUUGCGUGCGUACUAGCCUGUUAGCGGCCUCGGGUUUGGUUAUUAUGUUGCUUGUGUUUACAGGCCUGAUGAUAGCCCGUUGUCGUAUGGUUGGCAGUGGCGUGCGUAGUGCUUUCCAGGGCCAAUAGUCUGUGGUGUUGCGGUAGACUAUCCACCUGACCCGUCUUGAAACACGGACCAAGGAGAGUAACAUGUGCGCGAGUCAAUGGGCGUAACGAAACCCAAAGGCGAAGUGAAAGUAAAGGUCUGGCUUGUCCGGGCUGAGGUGAGAUCCUGUCGUUUCUCACGCGCGGUAUUACCAAGCUUCGAGCGGCAGGCGCAUCACCGGCCCGUCCCAUGGUGUGGUGACUCCCUUCGGGGGGUUCGUCACCGGGGCGGAGCAUGAGCGUACAUGUUGAGACCCGAAAGAUGGUGAACUAUGCUUGCGCAGGUUGAAGCCAGAGGAAACUCUGGUGGAGGACCGUAGCGAUUCUGACGUGCAAAUCGAUCGUCAGACGUGAGUAUAGGGGCGAAAGACUAAUCGAACCAUCUAGUAGCUGG